CCUACGGGAGGCUGCAGUGGGGAAUAUUGCACAAUGGGCGCAAGCCUGAUGCAGCCAUGCCGCGUGUGUGAAGAAGGCCUUCGGGUUGUAAAGCACUUUCAGCGGGGAGGAAGGCGUUAAGGUUAAUAACCUUGUCGAUUGACGUUACCCGCAGAAGAAGCACCGGCUAACUCCGUGCCAGCAGCCGCGGUAAUACGGAGGGUGCAAGCGUUAAUCGGAAUUACUGGGCGUAAAGCGCACGCAGGCGGUCUGUCAAGUCGGAUGUGAAAUCCCCGGGCUCAACCUGGGAACUGCAUUCGAAACUGGCAGGCUAGAGUCUUGUAGAGGGGGGUAGAAUUCCAGGUGUAGCGGUGAAAUGCGGAGAGAUCUGGAGGAAUACCGGUGGCGAAGGCGGCCCCCUGGACAAAGACUGACGCUCAGGUGCGAAAGCGUGGGGAGCAAACAGGAUUAGAUACCCCGGUAGUC
rnacentral:rRNA from 1 species